ensembl:snoRNA
ACCCCAGUUCCUUUCCCCAUCAGAUCUAGUUGCUGGUCUCGGUUUUUGUACAGCGGGAAGACUAUGCCAAAGCUGUCUUCUCUGAGAUGUAGUUUGUAUACAGCAUGAGACCCAGAUUCAAACAAGC